AGAGUUGAUCAUGGCUCAGGACGAACGCUGGCGGCGUGCCUAACACAUGCAAGUCGAGCGGGGAUAGGGCUUCGGUCCUAUUCUAGCGGCGGACGGGUGAGUAACGCGUGAACAAUCUGUCCUAUACAGGGGGAUAACACUUGGAAACAGGUGCUAAUACCGCAUAAGCCCACGGCCCGGCAUCGGGCAGGGGGAAAAGGAGCAAUUCGGUAUAGGGUGAGUUCGCGUCCCAUUAGCUAGUUGGCGGGGUGAAGGCCCACCAAGGCGACGAUGGGUAGCCGACCUGAGAGGGUGAUCGGCCACACUGGAACUGAGAAACGGUCCAGACUCCUACGGGAGGCAGCAGUGGGGAAUAUUGGGCAAUGGGGGGAAAAACCCCCUGACCCAGCAACGCCGCGUGAGGGAAGAAGGCUUUCGGGUCGUAAACCUCUGUCCCAUGGGAAGAGUAGAAGACGGUACCAUGGGAGGAAGCCCCGGCUAACUACGUGCCAGCCGCUGC
rnacentral:rRNA from 1 species